rnacentral:rRNA from 1 species
ACAAGGUUUCCGUAGGUGAACCUGCGGAAGGAUCAUUACCGAGUGAGGGCCCUCUGGGUCCAACCUCCCACCCGUGUUUAUUUUACCUUGUUGCUUCGGCGGGCCCGCCUUAACUGGCCGCCGGGGGGCUUACGCCCCCGGGCCCGCGCCCGCCGAAGACACCCUCGAACUCUGUCUGAAGAUUGUAGUCUGAGUGAAAAUAUAAAUUAUUUAAAACUUUCAACAACGGAUCUCUUGGUUCCGGCAUCGAUGAAGAACGCAGCGAAAUGCGAUACGUAAUGUGAAUUGCAAAUUCAGUGAAUCAUCGAGUCUUUGAACGCACAUUGCGCCCCCUGGUAUUCCGGGGGGCAUGCCUGUCCGAGCGUCAUUGCUGCCCUCAAGCACGGCUUGUGUGUUGGGCCCCGUCCUCCGAUCCCGGGGGACGGGCCCGAAAGGCAGCGGCGGCACCGCGUCCGGUCCUCGAGCGUAUGGGGCUUUGUCACCCGCUCUGUAGGCCCGGCCGGCGCUUGCCGAUCAACCCAAAUUUUUAUC